GGAGAUAGCUGCGAGUUCAAGGUCACCUAGGUGGCCUGCAAAGGCUUGGGUGAUCACUAACAUGGAAUACGAUGCUAUACGGCUAAAGAUUGCAGGGCCUGCUAUGUGCCAUAGCUUCUUGGAUUCAACCCAAAUCUUUCUUUUGAGGUCUUGUUCUUGUUCUGCUGCAUCUGGUAAAGGGUGAACUUCCAACAAAGGAGCUUUUAUUUCUCCUAAUGGUGAAACCUCCUUGCUAGGCAUCUUUGAGUAGCCUAGCUAUGCCAGUUGUGGCUAGAGUUUAUUUGGGUUCAAAAACUCAACAGAGAAGAAGGGAAGGAACAGAAUAAAACAAGGAAGAGAGGUAAUGCCGUGAUGAUAAUAUGUGCAACGUUGGAGGUUUUUAUACGGAUUUGGUUUGUCUGCAUCUGAUAUUUAAAACUGACACUUGCGUAUUUUUUUUGGUGUUGAUUGACACUUUAUAUUUAACAUCAUUUUUUAUAAAUAUUUCAAAUUGAUAGCAGUUACAAUAAUGGUAUCUCACACUUAUGUACACUUACACCAAGAGUAAGAACUAGGAAGGAGAGAAAAGAGAGUGAAAUGUGAGAUAUAAUCUGUGAUGUGAUGUAAAAAUAAAAAAUGAUAGGAAGAAAUAAGUGAAACUGUCGAAUUGAUAUAAAAGAAAAAGUAAGUGUGUAUGUAUCAAAGUUGUAUAGUAUAAAGCAAUGACGAACAUGAACAAGUCAUGUAUUUCUAAGAGCAUCUUUAACUAUGAUAUUCACUAAAAUAUUUACAUUUUACUUUUUACAACUCCCAAUAAUGUCACAUCAUCUACAUCAUUUUAUUAAUUUUUACUCCAACCCAACAACUCUUAAAAGUUUAUAUAAAAAAUUAUUUUAUUAAUUACAAGUUUUAUUUAAACCUUUUACAUUAAGCAAUAAUAAAUGUAAAUACACUUUUCAUGACUAAAUUGAGUAUCUACUCUCACAUACCCUCACUAGUCAUGUUAGAAUUAAAAUAUACUCCAAUGGUAAUAGAUAUUGAUGGUAGUAUGUAUUUGACAUUACAUACUCCCAUUAAAGAUGCUCAAAGAAUCAAUAAAUCACGAAAUUCAAGUGGGUCAUAACAUUAGGAAAGAAAGAACAGUAAUGUUUACUACUUGUCCUGUUUUGAUGAGAAUGUUUUGAUGAGAAUCUGGUUGAGAAUUUAUGGCUGGUGGGCAGGGACCGAUGUAUGUUGUGCAUCAUGGGGUCAAAUGCCCCCACUGAAUUUUCAUAAAAUGCACUAGUAAUACUAUAGAUUUAUGAUAAUAAGAGUUAUAUUACCCUCACUAAAAUACAAAUGCCCCCACAUACUUGUACAUUUUUAUAAGUGCCCCCACCCACGGUUCAUUUGACUUACCAUGUUUUUGACUUAGUAAAUUACUCCCUCCGUUCCUAUUUAACUGUCAACUUUGGGUGAGGACACACAUAUUAAGGGUGUAAUUAAUUUUCUUGAUUUUUAGAAAAAAGUGAGGAUUAUUUUCCUAAUUUACCCUUUAAAAUGUGUGUUAUCUCUCCUGUUUAUUAUUCUGUUAAUGACAUUAUAUGUAAAAACAUCAUUUAAUGCUCUCUUGAAAUGUUAAGUUGACAGAUAAAUAUGAAUAAAUUUUUUUUUUCGAGGUGAACAGUUAAAUAGGAACGGGGGAGUAAUUAGUCACCAUGAAUAACUCUAUGGACUGAGACUCAUUAUUCAUAACUGAUUUAUAAUUAUUAUAUAUAAUUCAAUCAAGUUCAAAUGUAUGUAUAUAAAGGAUAAUUAUAUCUUCACACCUCACUUUUGAGGUGUGGAGAGGUGGAAGAAGAGAGAGAUAAGAAGAAAUGAGAGAGAAAGUAAAGAAGUGAUAUGUGAUUUGAUUGAUAAAGAAGAGAGAAAUAAAUAGAAUGGAGGUGGAAAAGAAGUGGAGAGGUGUGUAUAUAUCAUAACUCGUAUAUAAAAUUUCAUUCACAUGCAUAUUUAUUGUUAAAAAAUGUGAAUAGUUUGAUUCUGCUAUACUCACAUUUCAUUACUAUUUGUUACUUCAUUUAUUUCUUGUUUCCUCUUCGUCUAUAUUAAUAAUGUUAUUCUUUUAUUAAUUUCUCUUUGUUCAACCAUUUUUAUUAAGAAAAAAGUGUUUUGCUAAAAAACUAUAUUAUUCUUGUCAUGUAGCGUUCAGACUAUAAAUAAAGAGAGUAGUACUCACAUGAAUCUUCAAGAGACUCAUUUUGGUAUUGCAUUCUCUAGUCGUAUUUACAAAUUUUUAUGUUUUGACAAAAAAAAAUUGCCCCACAACAUUAAAUCUCUAAAUCCGUCCUGCUGGUGGUGGGGGUGCAGCGUUGUAUUGCCAAACAGUAUUGUGACCCAUUUUUUAGUUUCAUUACUAUUUGUUACUUCAUUUAUUUAUUGUUUCCUCUCCGUCUAUAUUAAUAAUGUUAUUCUUUUAUUAAUUUCUCUUUGUUCAACCAUUUUUAUUAAGAAAAAAGUGUUUUGCUAAAAAACUAUAUUAUUCUUGUCAUGUAGCGUUCAGACUACAAAUAAAGAGAGUAGUACUCACAUGAAUCUUCAAGAGACUCAUUUUGGUAUUGCAUUCUCUAGUCGUAUUUACAAAUUUUUAUGUUUUGACAAAGGCUUAAUACAUCAGAAGGCCCCUGUAAUUGUAAAGGGAAUCAAAUCCAGGACCUAGAAAAUUUUUGCAUCAAAUUGGGUCCCUAGAAUUUUUUUUUUAAUUCAAUUAAGGCCAAAGUGUGCCAGCUUUCAAUUUUAUCCCAGUCAUCAAUUCCACGUGGCUUUUAUUAUUAUUUUUUAAUUAAAAAAAUAAUAAUAAAUUAUUUUUAAUUCCAACUCAAUUAAAUAAUUAGAAAAAAAAUUUAAAAACUUAAUAAAUAACCUAAUCUAAUCUAAUAAUCCCUAUAACCAAUCCCUAAUUUAAACAUUUUCACCCCCAAAUUGAACCCCCAAGGCUAUUGAAUUUCAGAACCCCCAAACUACCUCCAAUCUGACUAACUAAACUCCCUAGCUUUUCCACGCAUACAGCAAAAUUCCUUGAGUUGCCUUCAAUACAAUCAACAAGAUUUCCAGCACCAAUUAAUAGUAGAAAAGAUGCCCACCUUUCCACUGAGAACUAGAAACACGCAUAGAACAUGCAGAUGAAAGCUUCAUAGGCUGGCCAAGCAUACUCUUGGAUUGGAAAUCCAUUCGUAUACUGUGAAGGAAAACUUCUUUUUUUUUUGCCCACUAAACCCACAAUCAAACCAAAAUCAAAUAUACUCUUGGAUUGGAGAACCACUAAACCCAGAAUCAAACCAUGAAACCCAGAAUCAAACCACCAAACCCAUAAUCAAACCAGCAGAAUUUUCAUAAAACCCCAUCUGCAAAACCCACCAAACCCAGAAUCAAACCAAUGAGACAUAACCAUGUAAACCCAAAAUCAAAAAUUGGGGGGAAAUUGAGAAACAAGUUAUGAAGAAGAAAUUGAAAUGGAAUCUGACCUUGAUAGGAGGAGAGGCCAUUGAGGUCGAGCAGAGGCCAGCGGUAGUGGUGGAGAUCGGAGUAGGGGGCAUUGAGGUCGAGCAGAGGCCAGCGGUAAUGGUGGAGAUCAGGGGAGGGGGCGUUGAGGUCGAGCAGAGGCCAGCGAUGGUGGUGGAGAUCGGAGGAGGGGGCGUUAAGGUCGAGGCAAAGGCCACGGAGGGAGGGAGCGACGCCAUCGUAGGCAAGGGCGGCUUCAUGGUCUUCUUCCUUCUCUUCUUCCUUUUCUUCUUCCCUCUUCCUUCUUCAUCGAUAAUUCCAGAGAAGAUUAGGUUAGGAUUUUAUUUUUUUAAAGAUAGGUUAGUUUUUUAUAAUUGAAAUGAGUUGGAAUAAAAAAUAAUUAAAGAUUUUAAAAAAUUAAAACAUGUGGCAUAAGUUGUCAUUUAAAAAAAUUAUAAAAGCCACGUGGAUAAUGUGACGGACUAAAAAUCGAGCCACAUCAGCGGUUGACACACUUUGUCCUUAAUUGAAUUAAAAAAAAAAUUCUUAAGGACCCAAUUUGAUGCGAAAAUUUUACAGGCCCUGGAAUUGGUUCCCUUUACAAUUUCAGGGGCCUUCUGAUGUAUUAAGCCUUUGACAAAAAUAAAAUUGGCCCACAACAUUAAAUCUCUAAAUCCGUCCUGCUGGUGGUGGGGGUGCAGCGUUGUAUUGCCAAACAGUAUUGUGACCCAUUUUUUACAGCAUGAUUUGGCAUUGGCUCUUAUUUGGAUUGCAGUGGUGGGAGCAAUUUGGUCCCUACGUAAUAAUGUAAUUUUUAAGGGUGAUGAGGUGGAAAUAGUAAAGGUAGUGAACUUUAUACAAUACAAAGUUUGGCUGUGGAUUAAGGCUAGUAACCAUUAUUUCUCUUCAUCAUUAUUUGAGUGGGUCACGAAUCCAAGAGCUUGCAUUAGCAGCAUCUGUAGCUGAGACGUGCUUGGCUUUGGAAGAGGAUGUGUGGAAUCCUAUUGAGCUGUUUCCUUUUUCCUGAGUUAGCUGAUAUGGCUUUCUGUAAGUUUGCGGCUGCAGGGACAUUUUGUGUGCUGGUUAAUUGGGUCUCAAGUUGGAGUUUAUUGCUGCUGAAUUCUUGUAGGAAUUGGUGGGUCCGUUGGCAUGAUUGGAAUAGUGGGCAGGGGAAUAUAAUGGCUCUUGGUGGCUUUGUUUGAGCUUUGUAAAUUUUGUACUCUUUCUUUCACUAGACUUUUUCUAAGGAGGUUUUCCUAGUAAGGUUUUAAUGAGACAUUAUUUAUAGAGUCUAGCUUCCAAGGAGCAACUUUUGGGGGGCUCUUUUUCUUUUUAGCUUAUGUUAUCUUGUAUUGUAAUAUUGUAAUUGUUUUAUUAUUUGUCUUUCUUUCUCUUUGGAUUGGGUUGAAGUACCUGAUAAGUGCAAUUUUUACGUGUUUUUCAUUAUCAUUAUAGGCACUUAUUUGACCAGUAUGCUUGCAUUGUUGAUCAUUUUAUCCCCAAAGUAGCUUGCUUAGAAAAUAUUUAGUUUUAGCAUAAAAAUAAUGUAAAUAUUAUGCUUUUAAUAUUUAAUGUCUUAAUUUUGAUGUAAGAGUAAGAUGAUCACUUUGAAUCUUGAGCAAGAAAAUAAAGUGAGGAAAGUUGGCUCAAAUUUAGCUUGAGCGGACUGGAAACAGAGCUGAAGCCACCACUUUACACUAGAUUUUCAGCAUAGUUCGCUUGAGCCAACUUGAGUUAGCUUGAGCGGACUGAAGGCGGUCUUAACUACUUCAGCAUGAAGAAAGGUUCGCUCGAGUCAACUUAGCUUGGCUUGAGCCAACUAAGGUCGGCCAGAAACUCUAUAAAAGGCUAGACCACGAAAUUUUCAGUAUCUCUUCCAUUCUUCACCAUUUUUCCUCCCUAAAACAUUCAGAGGAGGCUGGGUUUCAUGGGGGAAGGGUCCUGGGUCUAGGAUUGACAGAUUGAAGCUCCGGAGCGUGGCGGCAACCGCCGAAGGACCGUGACAACCUCUUGGAGGCAAUGGAAAGCUUGGGAAAGCUUCUAUCGUCGUGGGUGCUUCGCCGUUCUUCUGGGUUUCAUCUCUUCUUCCUUAUCCCUUGUACUUUUUGUUUCUAUUUUUGUAUUUAGGAUGUUAUAACUUGAUGCUUUGAUUGUUGUAAGCUCUUCUCAUGAAUGUAAAUGAUAAUAUUUCAUGUAUGGUGUUUCUUUCUAUGUUUCAUGCUUCUAACCAAUCAAUUGAUAGUCAAAUGAGCUUCACUAAUUUGUAAAUAGAUCGAGAGGUUGAUAUGAGUUGGUGAAUGCUUAGAUAAAUGAAAGUAGAGCGCCUAUGUCUUAGGUCACAACACUGUGUUAAAGUUUUACUUUUUUCGCUUCAAGUAUCGAUUGAUUUGCGUUAGAUUUUCAAGGACUAGCAUGAGAUCGGGAGAUAAUUGCGGGUCCGGUUUAAGAGAGAAACCACUCAAUGAACUAGUUGUCUUAAGGUUAGAAUAUCUUGGGUAGGAACAAUAGUGGACUUCCACGUGACAUGUGUGGUUCUGAGUUCUAACAGGAGUUUCCAGAGUAACAACGGAGAUUCGCAAACCUAGGGUACCUUGUCUUAGGAUGAAUCGGUCAUUGGAAAUGUCUUUGAGAGAGAAUUUGAGCUUUAGUGUUCUUUUUGGGUUUUCUAGAUGGUAAGAGAUUACGUCUAGGAAUUCCGACUGAUAGAUUCACCUAGACUAGGGAUAGUUAGGUGGAUAACUCUCGGCAUCAUAAGUGAAAUGUACCUUUACAGAAGUGAUUGAGUGGAAACAAUUAGAGGAUUAGGUUAAAAUGCAAUCUGAAUAUGUGUUCUUCUUUGUUACCUCUGUACACUUUCUUUUACUGCUUUCAUUUAUAUUCAAAAACAACAAAAACAAUUUUAUCAAACAUAUUUUCAUCUGCUCAAAUCAAUAUUUAGCUCGUGGAACCAAUGUUCACACAAUCCCUGAGGACGAUAAACUCGUAUCUGCUUUGCUAUGAUUGAAUCAUAAGGGUUUAGUUUCAAAGCAGUACUAACAAGGAAAAAACCGUUAUCAAAUUUUGCCCUUGUACUUCACUUUAAUAAAGUAAUUGGCUUAUAAAAAAAAGUAAUGUUUCUUGUACAUACCUUCUGGGUGACAUAUCCAAUAUAUGUAAGUGGGGGUUUCUAACUGCCACAAUCUGCAAAGUAUUUAAAAUAAUUAUUGGUGGUUAUGGAAGGCUAUAGCCACAAAAUUUAUUGGCAAAAGUAUCUUCGCCGCUAGUCGGUAAAAGUAUUUAUCACCAAAUUAACCAGUGCAUAAUCUCCCCACUUAAAAUGAGCCGAAAAGCGUCAAUUGUUUUCCAAGAGUAACGAGAUCUCUGCAAAGGUCAACGGGUUGGAAUGUCGAUAGAACUUAUCAAAUUGAGUGGUCAAAGAAAAAGGCAGGGCCUCACUGAAACCGAGUUGAUAACUGACAUAGUUUGGCCGAUAAUUCACUACAUUGAGAUCCUUAAAUCUCGGCAAUCUAGUCAAAAGUUGUUGAGGGCACAAUACGACAACUCAUUUUUCAACAUCGAAAUCGUCGAAAUCUUUUCUUUCAAGAACCAAGAAGGGCGGCUGAUCGAAAAGGUCAACAAUGUUUGUCUGGGCGGAUAGGUUCCAAAAGAUGUUGAAAUAAAAGUGAAAGGCUUCAUUAGAUUGGCCUUAGGGGUGUCAACGGGUCGAGCCGAAAGGCAGCUAUUUUCGGUUACCAAGGAACAGACUCAAGAUCGAAGCGACCACUUAGGAUGGUCGUUAGCCAAAGCUGAAGGAGCCAAAUAGGCCCCACUAGAUUUCUAACCCGAAUGUUGUAUCAGAUGCCUUGUACAAUAUCCUUAAUGGCAGAAUAUAGAGAAGCAAGAAGGAAUUGGCCCAAAGCAAGUUUCUUGCACACGCAAGUUUGACGUAGGCCUUGCUAACCCCCGAAAACAUAGGGCAAAUUACAUGGGCAAACAACCAGUAAGUUAAAAAUCUGUGUUUUGUGUCGGUAACGGUGUCAGUGACCUUGGAAUAUAUGGUGACAAAGGGACCGCAAGAGGUAACAGUCGUUGAUUUGAGAGUGCACGUCGGUUCAGUUAACAACGUUAUAAUUUCACCGAAUGGCGGAAGGCCUGUAAUGGUCAACACUUCAAAAAGUGUCGGCCCCAUUAUGCCGAUGGGAAAUGGAAGGUGCUUGUCGAUUCACUCCAAAAAAAUAUUGAAGCUCCUAUUAGAGCUGGAUUGGAGUGAACUUUUUUCCGGCUUAACUAGAUCAGAUCAAAUGUGCCAAUCUCUUUCCAAGGCAAUCCCUUGGCCGCUCAGACUCGCUUCAACAACAAGAGAUAGGUGGAGGUUGGUUUCAGUGGGAAAGCCCUAAAAAGACAGGUUGCACUGUAGAAAUAACAUUUGGGGAUCGAAAGUUUGGAGAAAAGGGACUUAGGACUUAAGUUCUUUGAAUUUCAACUAUAAAUAGGACUUAGGAAGACUUAGAAAGGGUUGAACAUCUAAACUAACGCCUCAGUUCCUACUGGAUUCAAGAGUGGUUGAGUUUCCAGUAAACUCCAGCCACUUUAUUCCAAUCUUGUUGCUAUUUUCAAAUUUGCAAUUUCAAUUCAAGUUCUUUACUACUUGCACCUUCUUCAAAUUACUCUAAUUGCUUGAUCAUUGCUAAAGAGUAAAGACACAAUCUUGCAUGCUUAAAUCUUUCGCUUUCAACAUAUUAUUGUUCCUUAAUUUCGCUGUGUUGUUGAUAUUUGUUAAUAUGAAUUACAUGUUCAUUGUCUAGAUUUCCAGCAUCCUUCGGCAUUUCCAAGUUCAGCAUUCUGUUGUGUUUAUUUUCUGCAUAAGUGUUCUAAAAUAAUCACUUUUAUUCAUUUAAUUGGCAUUCAUGUAGUGUUUUGUUUCCCAACUUGGUGGAUUUAUUUUCAUCGCAUUAUAGUUUAAGUUCAGUUACUGUUUUACUUUUGAAAAAGUAACCAUGAGUUUCAGCAUGCUUACUAUAUUUUUCUACAUUCAUAGUUGAACUAGGUAGUCUGCAUCUCUUUUCCAGUUUUUCAGAGCAUUCUCUGAACUUGAGCACUUCUUAACCGCUUGUCAUUAUUUACCUCCAGUAUUUGGCUGUAUUUUACGCUUUUGGUUAGUCUUCGCUUGCCAAGACAGGGUACAAUCUCGGCCACCAGGCCAUCAUUUUCUUUACCAACUGCUGGCACGCAAGAUCAACCAGUGUUUCUGGCCGAUACCGAAACAAAGGCGCAAUAUCACCGAAAAUUCCUCUUAACCGAGGUACUACACGUAACGUUCAUCAGCAUCGAGAAGCAAGGCUCGGUUUAAUCACAUUGGGCAGAUGGAGCUCGACCUUCGUAGUAUAAACCCGACUCCGUGUUAUUUCCAACAGGAAACAUGUCUGAAACUCUAACCUAUACUAUGAGGAAUACGCAACAGUUAUUUUUUUAGCCUAGUGCAAUAGUGUUACCCAUUUUUUAUUUCAAGUUAUAAGUGUUGCAUAGAAGUCCUACGACAACAGUUCUAAACUAACACAAUUAUACAUAGGCAACAUACUAAAUGUUGCUAAUUAUCAGCUACAACUUUACAUUGUUGCAUAAAAUUAACUCCACAUACAACAAUUUAUAAUAAUAUUGAGAGAGAGAGAGAGAGAGAGAGAGAUACCAGAACAAUAGACAUGUGUAGGAGAGCAGCUGUGGUCCAACAACAAUGGAAGCAGCUUCACUGACAACUCGACCAGUAAGCCAAGGAAUCUCACAGCCAUAGAAAAAAGCUGCUAUGCAAUUCCCACAUGCUAUGAUCUUUAGUUCCAAACUUGAAAUCUAUGUACAAGCAUGUCAUUUAGCAUUUCAGAGUCCACAUGCUAGCUGAAAAGGGCAACAAUUAGUACAAAUACUCUACAGAGACCAACAUUACAUGUGAGGGAUGUGGCUCACCUCUUUGGGAAAACAAUCAGCAUUAUUGUACCUAGUUUGGAAGAAGGUUCAUCACGUGUUUUUCUUUUGCAGCUUCCUCCUUAAUGACUGGAAAAGUACAUAGCUGAAUUAAAUGACUCAUAAUUUGGAUACCAAUUAAGCAUGCUAGCUUUCUACAAAAAUGGUAAAGAGAACUCAUAAGAAUUUUGGCACUUUAACAUAUUCAUUCCUGAGAAAAUUGAUCAAAGUAACAGUUCUCACUCCUCAAAGAGAAUCGUUAGUCACUGAAAAAACCUAAAAUCAUACCAAUUGAAUUGAAUCACUGAUAAAACCUAAAAUCGAACAAUCUAUUGAAUCAAUAAUGAAUUAAUUACCUCCAUAUUUUAGUUGAAUUGCAGAUUUUGAACGCAACGGUUAUGAAUUGUUGUCACUUUGCUUAGAUUUCCAUUAGGUAAAACUGAAAACACAUUCAAUGAAUUGGAAAUAGAAAUCAUGAUCAUGGGAAAGAAGAAUAGCCAGGCUGAUAGCUUCAGGGGUAUGGUCCAGUGGAAGAAGUUGGUGCAGAGUUGAACGUGCUACCAGUAGAGUUGUCGAGACCUUAUGAUGUGUACAUAGUGACUUACUGAUGGAGAAGCGAUUAAACAUGGAGUAUGAUUGCUCAUAUUUUGUAGUCUUCUCUUAUAUUGCUUCUCAAAUCAUUGUGUGAAGGUCUUCUUUAGGUUGGAGUGGGUGUGCUUUGGGUAGUUUGGCUGUUGAGGUUUUUGUGGAGUGGUGGUGUGUGCUUUGGGGUUUGUCUAAUUGUUGUGAGGGCUUCUUUUCAUCUAUGGUGCGCUCAAACUUUGAGCUUAUUUUCGUUGGGUUGGGUUAUUUUCGUAUCAUUGGCUUAAUUGUAACUUUGACCCUUGACGUUUGCCAGAAAAGUAAUUUUGACCUCUCACCUAAUUUAAUUACAUGGAUGAUCCCUGACGUUUACAUCCGUUUGCAACGUUAGUCCUUCCGUCCAAUUCUAUCCAAAACUUAACGGUUUCUGAAAAAAAAUAAUUAAAAAAAUCCAGAAAUUUAUAGACUUCUUCAUCAUCUUUAACCAUCUUUUUCAUUAUAUUCAACAAAACUCAGGCAAAACACAAAAACCAGAGCCUCUUCUUCUUCCUUCAAUGAUAAAAUAAAAAUCAGAGUCACUUCUUCUUCUUCCACCCAAACCCAGACCGCAACUCCGACACUUCAGAUCGCACACCUGACUCCUACCCCCAAACCCAGAUCAAAGCGAGAGAAGACACCAACACCUUCAACGCUUCAGAUCGUAGGCAAUGAAGAAAGAUUCCUCCUAUCCUUGAUCUGGUCUCGGAUUCGAAAAGAGGACGUGGAGAGCUUCCAGAAAGUACUCUCAUUUUUUCAGUUUGGAGCACGGCAGAGAUAUCGCCGGAAAUCGCCACCUGUGGCGGCGCGCGACGAAGGACGGCGGCGUUUGCGGUGAAGCAUAAAUUUAUUGAGGGGGUUCUCUGCGGAUGAGACGAGGAAUCAAAUGGCGGUGGUAGUUUCCUCAUGGAACUCGUGGUUUCAUCAGAAAUGGAGGGAAAAGGCCAUGGUGUUCCUUUCAUGGCUUCCUUAAGUUCUUCCAUGGAGGAGAGAGGAAUCGGUGAUGGUGAUGGUGAUGACUGUGGUUGAGCGAGAGUUGGAGGUAGCGGUGGUUUCUGCUGUGGGGAGAGAGGGUUGGAGGUGGCGGUGGCGGUGCUUGAUUCAUGGCUGGAUUUUGAGGUUGGGAAAUAAGGAUGGGAUUUGAGGUUUAAUUUAAAUGUGUUGUUGUUGUAGAGAGUUUGGAGGGACAGAUUGUGUUGUGAGUUAUGAGGAAUUAGCAAGGAUGGGAAUUGGGAAAAAAGUUAUAGCAAAAGAAGCCAAAAAACAUAAACGCUAUGAGUAAUUGAAUGAAAGCUUGCAACAAUACAUGAGAGGGGGAGAUGAAGAUGAUAGAUUUCUGGAUUUUUUUUCUAGAAACCGUUAGAUUUUAACGGAAAUUGAUAGAAGGACUAACGUUGCCAACGAGUGUGAACGUUAGGGGUCAUCCAUGUAAUUAAAUUAGGUGAGAGAUCAAAAUUACUUUUCUGGCAAACGUCAAGGAUCAAAGUUGCAAUUAAGCCUAUAUCAUUUGACUAUACCUCAUCAAUAUAAUUUUACUUUAAAAAAGAUCAUUAUCCUGAUUUACAAAGUGCAUAACAAAAUUACUCACAAGUGAAUUUACAACAACAUUACAUUUAUAUAAUGUUCUGCUCAUAUUGCUUAAAAUACACAAUUUGUCCAAGGGAAUGGAUCCUCCCAUAUCGAAUUUUUCUCAUGUUAAGAAUUUUAUAUUUAUCUCUUUUGGAUAUCAAGUAGGUUGGAACAUUAAGGUAUACGUUGACAACAUAUUGUAAAGACUUCCACCAAAGAGACCAAACUACUAAUUUGGAAGAGGUUAUCCAUUCUACAAAAACCAUAAAAAUUCAAGUUAAUUUUGUUUGGGUUAUCCAUUUGUAACAUAAUGUAAUAUACUAAUGUUUGAAUUUUAAUUUAAGAUUUUUUUAUUUUUAAAUUAAUUCUAAAGGUUAAUGUCACUUUUAAUUCAUUUGAAACUUUUACAAUUAUAACUUAACGUAAUUUAUUAUUCUCUUUAUUUAAAAUACAAUAACAAAAUUAGUUUAACAAAUAAUAAAAUUAAAUAAUAAAGCCGCUUGAUAAUUAAGAGGAUAAAGUGAGAAAGUCAUUUGUUCGGAGGAAUCGUCACAGACUCACUCAAAUUUACCAAACGCGUUACACUCGUUAAAAGACAAAAAUAAAAUUGGCAAAAGAAAUCAAUUGUAUUUAAUGUCGUAUGCAAUUUUAUUAUUUUUAAGAAUGGAUUCUAUUGGGUUCAAAAAAAAUGGAUUAUGUUGUACUUACGCAGUUUUAGUCAAGGAGUCUGUCUACAAUUAUGCCCAUUUAUUCCAUAAUUUGGCAUUUAGGUUAUGAAUACUGGCCCCUCUAUAAGUAGUACUAGUUCAGUUCUCGUUUUGGAUCAGACCACUUUGUCAAAUGCAGUUUUGCUUUCUCAGCCUGCAAUGUUCACCACCACAAAAUAUCAAAUUAAGAUUAGAUUAUACAAAGUCAGAGCCAAUAACACAAGAAAAAUAAAACUGGUAGCUAGUUACCUCUCUAUCCCAAUUGCACCGAAUGGUAAUCACACCUAAUAUCAAUGUCUGAAGUGCUGUCCCGCCAAAAAUCAUCCCUGCCCAGAUUCCCUAAUUAAUUGUUCAAUUUCACUAGUUGUUAGUGUCAUGAGAAUUAUACUUCAUGCAUAUGAAUUUCAUAUGGAAGUAAAAUAAAUGAACAAAUAUUUAGAAACAGAGAAAACUCACCAUAACUCCUUGAUUGAAGACCCAGCCCAUUAUAAGUCCAAGAGGCACACCAACAAGAUAGUAGCAACCCAAAUUUAUGUAUGCAACAUAUGAUUGCCACCCUGAUCCCACAGCCACUCCUGUUCAAAAUAUCCAAUGAGGACCAGAUAAUUAAUAUACAGCAUGUAAUUGAUUUCAGUUAAAAAAUUUUGAAAGCUGAAAUGCUAAGUAAGGGUAAGGUGUUAAUCACCUGAGAGAACUGGCUGAAUACUGUUAAGUAGUAUUGUGAAGGCUAACAGAAGAGAAAGAUUGUUUACUUCAUCAAGGACGGGUUUGCUUGUAGAGAAUAUGUAGCCGAUUUUAUCGUGAAAUAUCAAAAUCAACAUCCAAAAGAAGAGUCCUAUUAUUGAAGAAGUGACCACAGAUACUUUAGUAGCAAACUUGGCUCCUUUACCAUUCCCAGCUCCCAGCUCGUUUGCAACCCUCACUCUACAGAUUGCAAAGUAACUUCACAUGUAACUAAAACUAUUUGUAUUUUAAUAAAUUUUAAGCUGCGAUGAGCUGAGUGAAUAUUUAAUUUCACAAGUUGCAUAGAAUCCAACACACAUCAAAAGCUAAGAAUCGCAAAUUGUAAACAGAGGUGUGAAUGUGUGAUUCAAAAGUAUUUAACUAAACGUGUUAUGCAGUAGGGAACAUCUCUAAUACUGUCCAAUUAUCGUUUUAUGUUGAAGAGAAUCUUUCAAUAAAUAAUUAAUUAAUGAUCAUCUGAUGUAACUAGGGGAAAAAUACUCCUUUUCUUCUUUUAGGUUUUGGCUAUGGAAAUAAUGAAAACCAAUAGAUUUGUUUAUUUUAUUCUAAUUUUUCAAGUCUUUCUUUAUUUUUAUCUCCUCCAUACACCAAAAACUAGAAGUGAGUGAGAAAGUGCUAUGAGAAUUUUUUACUGAAUUUUCAUUGGCAUAAGACUAAAACAUAGACGUAGCUAACAAGUAACAAGUAGGCAAUUUGCUGACCAAACAUAUGCGCCACCAACCAAUGUUUUCUGUGGCUGCUGUAAUGUUUUUCUUCUUUAUUAAUUAUUGACAGAGAUUUCAUGGUGAUGCUGUUUAUGCAGAUGUCAGGACAGACGUAUGUUAAUUUAAUUUGUACUUUCUAUUUUGACCGAUUCCUAAUGUCCAAAUGUUCCAAUCACCACUGCAAUGUAAUCUUGUGGAAAUAUUUUCGUCAGAGAAUUAUUGGUUCGUUACUAAUCAUCAAAAUUUCUCACUUUAUUUUAAUUUAGGACACCCACAACAUUUUCCUAUCUAAUCUCAGCCUUGUGUUUUGAUGGGCCUUGUUGACCUGACCCUUGCCACCCAAUUAGUUAUUGACUAUGGCCCUCCAUUUUUGACUUGAUGCAGAAAACUCGAAAAGAGUAAGCAAAAUACUAAAAGGCAAGGCGAGUACUGAAAAUAACAAAUAAAGAAAGAAAAUUGGUAUAGCAGGGAAUAUAGCAGACUAAAAACAAGAUAUCUUACCCUGUUGCAGCAAAAAAUGACAGAGGAAUCAUCAUUUCCAAGCCAUUUAUUGACAUGCUGCCAAUAAAAAACACAGCAUCGAUUAUCAGCUAGCCAUAAAAAUUAUACCAACAAUUAUGAAGUCCUGCAGUUCUCUACUGUUUAAAUUUCUCUCCAGGGUGUAUCUAGUGAGAAUACACAUCAUUUUUCAUUUAAGAAUUAAAAUACAAUUUUUACUCUCUUUUCUAGCAGGUUCAUACACUACGUACAGUGCACUAAACAGAACAAUUCAUACCAUAUGGACAGAGCAUCCACUGCAAUUUCAGCAUUCUGAAGAUUUCCAGUCAUCAAUAUCAGAACUUUAUAAUACCAAUUCUCCACACUGAGAUUGAAAGAAAAGAAAAAAAGCCGUCAAGAAUGUUGAGAAAACCAGAACAUACAUAAACAUAGCAUAAUUUUGAAAGAAAGUACCAGAGCAUGACUCCAGAAGCAGCUGAAAGUUUAACAAACUCCCAAAGACCAGAAAAAGCUUGCAUGGACAAACCAGACCAAGUGUCAGGGCAACCGCCACAAACAGUAUAACCCAAAAGGCCCAACGUGAGGAUCCACCAAGAGAAGUUAUUGGUAGCAGCAAUACCAAUCACACCAAACUGGAGCUUGAAAACGAAUAACCAACAGAUAAACACGUGCACCAAAAGCGCCACUAGUUUUAAGCUGGCUCUGCAAGAAUCUUUGGAGAGGUAACUGAAACGCUAAGGAGAAGUGCAUUGGUAUCAUCCACAUCGACGCCACACCGGAAAGCUCUGCCAGAUCAUCAGGCUGCCCCAACAACUUCAAAACCGGCGAGGCAAACAGGUAGAUAGGCAAAAGGAAGAUGCAACAAAUGAAAAGAACGAUCCAAGAACGUUGCAUGUACACGCCUAACAUGUAGUACUUCUUUGCCCCAUAAGCUUGCCCACAUAGUGUUUCCAACGCACUUGCCAUGCCCAACUAUAAAUGAAAUAGAUUAAAAGCCAUAGUUAAGAAAAAUAAAUUAACUAUUAGAACUACAUAGUAGAAUUAAAAGUAUUUAAUCUGUACCAAGAGGCCAAAGUCGAAGCCGACUACAACAUUAUUGGCGAUGGAGAUAGCUGCGAAUUCAAGGUCACCUAGGUGGCCUGCAAAGGCUUGGGUGAUGACUAACAUGGAAUAGGUUGCUAUACGGCUAAAUAUUGUAGGGCCUGCUAUGUGCCAUAGCUUCUUGGAUUCAACCCAAAUCUUUCUUUUUAGGUCUUGUUCUUGUUCUGCUGCAUCUGUUAAAGGAUGAACUUCCAACAAUGGAGCUUUUAUUUCUCCUAACGGUGAAAUCUCCUUGCUAGACAUCUUUUUGUAGUAUGCCGGUUGUGGCUAGAGUUUAUUUGGAUUGAAAA
rnacentral:lncRNA from 1 species